GGCGCACGGGUGAGUAACACGUAGGUAAUCUACCUUUGGAUGGGGAAUAACAAUCGGAAACGGUUGCUAAUACCGCAUAAUGCAGCGGCACCUAAUGGUGACAGUUGUUAAAGCGGGGGAUCGAAAGACCUCGCGUCUAAAGAGGAGCCUGCGGCGGAUUAGCUAGUUGGUAAGGUAACGGCUUACCAAGGCGACGAUCCGUAGCCGGCCUGAGAGGGCGGUCGGCCACACUGACACUGACAUACGGGUCAGACUCCUACGGGAGGCAGCAGUCGGGAAUUUUGGGCAAUGGGCGAAAGCCUGACCCAGCAACGCCGCGUGAAGGAUGAAAUCCCUCGGGAUGUAAACUUCGCAAGAACGGGAAGAAUAAGUAGGGGACAAUACCCCCUAUGAUGACGGUACCGUUUGUAAGCUCCGGCUAACUCCGUGCCAGCAGCCGCGGUAAUACGGGGGGAGCAAGCGUUGUUCGGAUUUACUGGGCGUAAAGGGCGCGUAGGCGGCCAGCACAAGUCAGUUGUGAAAUCUCCGAGCUUAACUCGGAAAGGUCAACUGAUACUGUGCGGCUAGAGUGCGGAACGGGGCAGACUGGAAUUCUUGGUGUAAGCGGUGAAAUGCGUAGAUCUCACGAGGAACACCUGCGGGCGAAGGCGGGUUGCUGGGCCGACACUUGACGCUGAAGGCGCGAAAAGCCAGGGGGAGCGAACCGGGGAAUUCGGAUA
rnacentral:rRNA from 1 species